CUGCGAGCGAACAGGGAAKAGCCCAGCACCGAAUCCCGCGGCCGAWACCGGACGCCGGGAAAUGUGGUGUUARGGAGGAUCCGUCAUCCCRAGACUGUGCGGUGCGUCMAAGUCCAUCUUGAASRGGGCCACAKCCCAUASAGGGUGCCAGGCCCGUAGCGACMGCUGCCGGUAACGGGAGGAUCUCUCCWCAGAGUCRGGUUGCUUGAGAGUGCAKCCCUMAGUGGGUGGUAAACUCCAUCUAASGCUAAAUAUGACCACGAGACCGAUAGYGAACAAGUACCGUGAKGGAAAGWUGAAAAGAACUUUGAAGAGAGAGUUCAAUAGUACGUGAARCCGUUCASGGGUAAACCUGAGAAGCCCGAAAGGUCGAAAGKGGAGAUUCAGCGUGUCUCGAUGGCGGCGCUGGGCUGUCGUGCGACKGACGGCGUACGCKUCAUCCGCRCCUUCRGCUCUCCGAAMUGCCGUSGAASGCGUGMACUUCUCCCCCUGUAGGACGUCRCGAUCCGWUGRGUGUCRGUCUAAGGCCCGCGSUGGAGACCGUCUGGACGUUUCGGCGUUCCGGACGAACCCGCGGUGUUUCCCGACYGGCUCGCUCGACGGUAUACAGAUGGCGCGGGGCCGCUACACAGUUAGYGUCCGACCUUCGGCAAGCGCGCCMGUCGUGAUGGUGAUCKGACCUGGUGCCKGUCCCGUCCCCGGGUGGCUGUUCGCUGAGGUGUUCUCGGACAGACCUCGUUGAAACSCCGAUCUGCGACGCKAUAGYUUUGGGUACUUUCAGGACCCGUCUUGAAACACGGACCAAGGAGUCUAGCAUGUGCGCGAGUCAUUGGGAAAUGACUAMACCUAAAGGCGCAAUGAAAGUGAAGGUCCGCCUAGCGCGGACCGMGGGAGGAUGGGCGGUCGUUACGGCUGCCGCCUCGCACUCCCGGGGCGUCUCGUUMUCAUUGCGAGAAGAGGCGCACCAAGAGCGUACACGCUGGGACCCGAAAGAUGGUGAACUAUGCCUGGUCAGGACGAAGUCAGGGGAAACCCUGAUGGAGGUCCGUAGCGAUUCUGACGUGCAAAUCGAUCGUCGGAACUGGGUAUAGGGGCGAAAGACUAAUCGAACCAUCUAGUAGCUGGUUCCCUCCGAAGUUUCCCUCAGGAUAGCUGGCGCUCGUUGCGCACGAGUUUCAUCCGGUAAAGCGAAUGAUUAGAGGCAUUGGGGUCGAAACGGCCUCAACCUAUUCUCAAACUUUAAAUGGGUGAGAUCUCCGGCUUGCUCGAACUACUGAAGCCGCGAGACUCGAAUCAGAGUGCCAAGUGGGCCAUUUUUGGUAAGCAGAACUGGCGCUGUGGGAUGAACCAAACGCCGAGUUAAAGCGCCUAAAUCGACGCUUAUGGGAUACCAUGAAAGGCGUURGUAACUUAAGACAUCAGGACGGUGGCCAUGGAAGUCGGAAUCCGCU
rnacentral:rRNA from 1 species